ensembl:lncRNA
AUGCACACCCGAUCAGGCCCGACGUCUGUUCCGUCGAGCUCGGCAGCGGCAAGUAGCCAUGCCAGCUCCAGAGGAGACGCCGUCCCAGUUCUUGUCGGCCAUGUUGCGGCCGUUCCUGUCGGCCAUGUUGCGGCCGUUCCUGUCGGCCAUGUUGCGGCCGUUCUAGUCCCUGUUCCUGUUCCUGUCGGCCAAGUAGAGGUCGUUCCUGUCGGCCAAGUAGAGGUCGUUCCUGUCGGCCAAGUAGAGGUCGUUCCUGUCGGCCAAGUAGAUGCCGUUCCAGUCCCUGUCGGCCAAGUAGAUGCCGUUCCAGUCCCUGUCGGCCAAGUAGAUGCCGUUCCAGUCCCUGUCGGCCAAGUAGAUGCCGUUCCAGUCCCUGUCGGCCAUGUUGCGGCCUCUGUCGGCCAUGUUGCGGCCGUUCCAGUCUCUGUCGGCCAUGUUGCGGCCGUUCCAGUUCCUGUCACCCUCGGAGCCGCAGCGCCCGCCGGCCUCCAGGAGGAGGCGGCGCCGGCUGCAGUCCCCGCGCACCUCCAGGAGGAGGCGGCGCCGGCUGCAGUCCCCGCGCACCUCCAGGAGGAGGCGGCGCCAGCUGCAGUCCCCGCGCACCUCCAGGAGGAGGUCGCGCCAGCUGCAGUCCCCGCGCACCUCCAGGAGGAGGUCGCGCCAGCUGCAGUCCCCGCGCACCUCCAGGAGGAGGUCGCGCCAGCUGCAGUCCCGCGCCCUCCAGGAGGAGGUCGCGCCAGCUGCAGUCCCCGCGCACCUCCAGGAGGAGGUCGCGCCAGCUGCAGUCCCCGCGCACCUCCAGGAGGAGGUCGCGCCAGCUGCAGUCCCCGCGCACCUCCAGGAGGAGGUCGCGCCAGCUGCAGUCCCCGCGCACCUCCAGGUGGAGGUCGCGCCAGCUGCAGUCCCCGCGCACUUCCAGGAGGAGGUCGCGCCAGCUGCAGUCCCCGCGCACCUCCAGGAGGAGGUCGCGCCAGCUGCAGUCCCCGCGCACCUCCAGGAGGAGGUCGCGCCAGCUGCAGUCCCCGCGCACCUCCAGGAGGAGGUCGCGCCAGCCGCAGUCCCGCGCACCCCAGGAGGGGGUCGCGCCAGCUGCAGUCCCCGCGCACCCCAAGAGGGGGUCGCGCCAGCUGCAGUCCCCGCGCACCUCCAGGAGGGGGUCGCGCCAGCUGCAGUCCCCGCGCACCUCCAGGAGGGGGUCGCGCCAGCUGCAGUCCCCGCGCACCUCCAGGAGGGGGUCGCGCCAGCUGCAGUCCCCGCGCACCUCCAGGAGGGGGUCGCGCCAGCUGCAGUCCCGGCGCACCUCCAGGAGGGGGUCGCGCCCGUCGCAGUCCCGGCGGACCUCCAGGAGGGGGUCGCGCCCGUCGCAGUCCCGGCGGACCUCCAGGAGGGGGUCGCGCCCGUCGCAGUCCCGGCGGACCUCCAGGAGGGGGUCGCGCCCGUCGCAGUCCCGGCGGACCUCCAGGAGGGGGUCGCGCCCGUCAUAGUUCCUGCCCUCCUCCAGGAGGGUGUUGUUCCUGGCGGCCCGGCCGCACCUGCAUCGGUUCCUGGCGGCCCGGCCGCACCUGCAUCGGCUGGCGGCCCGGCCGCCUGCAUCGGUUCCUGGGGCCCGGCCGCACCUGCAUCGGUUCCUGGCGGCUCGGCCCCGGCCGCACCUGCAUCGGUUCCUGGCGGCUCGGCCCCGGCCGCACCUGCAUCGGUUCCUGGCGGCUCGGCUCCGGCCGCACCUGCAUCGGUUCCUGGCGGCUCGGCUCCGGCCGCACCUGCAUCGGUUCCUGGCGGCUCGGCUCCGGCCGCACCUGCAUCGGUUCCUGGCGGCUCGGCUCCGGCCGCACCUGCAUCGGUUCCUGGCGGCUCGGCUCCGGCCGCACCUGCAUCGGUUCCUGCCUCGUCUCUGGCUCCGCCGCCGGACGGGUGGCCUCGCCCUCGGUACCUCCCGCUGCUUGGAUGGCGCUGCCUCCUGCGGCGCCGUCCGCCUCGACUCCUCAACCGCCUGGAUCAGCGUCCGCCAGGAGGACAUCGCCGUUCGGGGGGAUCCCCGUGGACGCUGGCCCAGCCCAAGGGCACUGGGUGGGGUUCCCUGCCUCAGCGGCGGCUGGGCAGGCUCACGCCGCGUCCCCACCCGCCUUAAGAAGGAGCAGCGGGACUUUUCUGUUAUUCAUGCACCCUGGACAUCUCCCAUGGACUCUGUUCUUGUUUCACGGACAUUCGUGUUGUCUUCUUGAUUUUGGGACUCGGUCUUGUUUUGUUUUUCUGUUGGGUCCUCUUGGUCUGUCGAGUUCGGGCGUGAGUUUUGUUUUGAUGGGGGUUCCCGUUCUGCCCUCCCCCAGUCCGCCCUCCGCCCGCCCUGUCGGUGUUCUGUGCGGGUUGUUUUUGGUUCUGUCCCUCCGCCGGUCCUCCCUCCGCCCGCCCUGCUCGGGUUUGUUGUUUUUUGUUUGGUCGUCUGGAAUCCGCCCUUGGGGGGGGGGUACUGUCACGAUCUGGGUUUUGUGUCUAGUUGUUUCCGGUUUUAUUUUGGUAAUCUCCCGGUCUCUGUUUUUGGUUUGA